rnacentral:lncRNA from 13 species
GAACAAAGUACAACUGAUCAGUAAACCAAUUAGUAAUUUUAGCUGUUCAUCCUGUCUUUAUUUACUAGGGGCAAAAGUGGGAAAUGGAAGUGCCUUUUAGACCACAUGUAAGAUUCCUGCUUUUCCCUCACUGCCUUCUAUUUCUCUGCAAGCUUAUGUUACAAGAAUAUUCUCAUGGAAAUGUCUCAUAAAGCUUAUGUUGCUUAAAUAUUAUGCAAGUUACGAAAGGAGAGAGCAACCACAUUUGUCAAAGAGAUUUUUUUAUGCCAUGGGCCAGUAUGAUCGUCACAGCAGGCAACAUACCUGGAGUUUCACUCUUGUUACCCAGGCUGGAGUGCAAUGGUACGAUCUCGGCUCACCACAACUUCCGCCUCCUAGGUUCAAGCAAUUCUCCUGCCUCAGCCUCCUAAGUAGCUGGGAUGUCCUCCUGUAUCUCAAAAGAACAUGUGGUAUGUACCAUCAGGUACACACACCUGGAGAUUAUCAGUCUAGCAAAAGUAAUCAACAUCCACAUAGGAGGGAAAAGCAAAUCAACAAUACCAGAAAUGGAAUUUAUCCAUCAUCAGUCCCAGAUCUCUGAGAUUCUAAUUUUGCACAGGAAUUUUAUUCAUAGCAUAUCCACAUGCCUUGAUGGAAGAUGGUUCAUCUACAGUUACAAAGGUAAAUACAGACGAGAUCCUGCCACUUAGCAGUCCUAGUUGUCUUCAUUCAGAGCUUUUAA